UCUCUCUCUCAAGUUGCUUCUGCGUUCUUCAGGUAUUGACUCUUCUACUUCAUCGAUCUCUCUGUUAUAGUGCCAAUUCUCAUUCAUCUCUUUGUUUUUGUAUAACUUGCUGUGUCUUCUACAACUUAAUCACUGAUCUCUCUGUAACUCUGCUACUCAUUAUUGAAUUCUCUUCUAUUUUGUUUUUUGCUUUUAAUCACUAUGUGUGUGAGUGUGUGAGUGUGUGAGCGAGCGAGUGAGAGAGAAAUAUUCUCAUUUUUGGAGAUGAAUUUCGUGUCUCUGUGUGUGAGUGAGUAAGAGACGAUAAUUUGAUGAUUUCUCUGAUAGCUAUUUAUUAUUGAUUUCUCUUUUAUUUUGUUUUUUGCUUUUAAUCACGGUGUGAAUAUAUGUGUGAGCGAGCGAGUGAGCGAGAGAGAAAUAUUCUCGUUUUUUGAGUUGAAUUUCGUGUGUGUGUGAGAUUUUUGUGUACUCAUCAUUGAUUUCUCUGCUAGCUACUUCAUCAUUGAUUCUCUACUUUUUUGGGCUUUUAAUCACUGUGUGUGUGAGAAAAUGUGCGUACGUGUGUGAGCAAAAACGAAUUUGAUAAUAAACAUAGCUUAAUAGGAUGUGACGGGUUAUCAUAGCUUAAAAUACAUUUUUAAAUAUGUGCUUUGAUUUUAUAUUGAACAGGUUCAAGAUGAGUCGUUCCAUGUACGUGGCUGAAUUUGACGAGUAAGAUGUCUACCUACAAUUUGAUAUGCUUCUUUGUUUCAUUGGAGAAGGUUUCACUGAAGCUAUGAUUUGAUUUAUGGUGCCUAAUUUUAGCCUAACGAUUAUUUCUUGCUUUUUGUAAUGUAUGGGUUGAAUUCUUAUUUGGGAGAGUUGCCUGGGGGUUAUCAUGAGGUCAUUAAAGGAGAGUUACUUACUUGUGCUUGUAAGUAUUUCCUUUGACUAUGUAUUUACUUUUUGUUGACUUUUCCCCUACCUCUGCCACCUUUUGUUGUUUAACAGUUCGGAGAUCGUUUCAUAAUGUACCGUAUUGCAUUGUAUUAUAUUGUAGUGUAUCGUUUGAUGAAUACAAUGUUUAGAUAAAUUGUAUCAUUUGUUGUUGUUUCAUGAUAUUACGUACCAGUAAUAUCAUGACCUAAUGUGUCUUUGAGUUACUAGUCCCUAUUAUGAGUUUAAUUAGAGGAUUUAACUAGUCCGUUCUCGCUAAUGACCUAAUGUGUCUUUGAGUUACUUAUGAAGGCAUCUCUAAAAAAUUCCCAAGUGGAAAGCUUCAGUACUGACUUCAACUUCUGAGGCUAAAUUAGCGUUUGGCCGCUAAUGUGUCUUCGAACUUUGUUUGUUGCAGAAAUGGACAGGAGAGAAAAAUUUUCACACAACUUUAGCAGAGGCCUUGAACAAGGUGGUCAACGUCCAUGAAUCUGAGAUCUACUUGCUUGAAAUUGAUGAGCAAAUCUGAGAUCUACUUUAUAUGAAUAAAGUAGCAAAUGUUUGACCUACUAAAUAGUAGUUAUAUACAACUCAUUUUGUUGUGCUCAACAUUUCUACUAAUCAUAGUAUCAUAUUCCUACCAAAUACCUUCUUCCUUUAUCACUGCAAAGGCCUUGAGAUUAUGCUGAUAUAUACUCUAAGAAGAAGCUAAAUACAAUUUAAGACUGUAGAAAGGCAAUCAAACUCGUUUUGAAGUGGCUUAAACACAAAUUAUGGUCCUCCCAAGAUAAAUAUGGCGAAACAGUUCUUAAAGAGGUACAUCACAAGCAUUAACAAAUGGGCAGUCGAGUGCACUUAGCUCCUACUAUUAGGGGGAGGGGGGCGGCUAGCGCCAGACCACGAUGGGUCAUAUGUAUGUAACCUUAUCUUGCAUUUCUUAAAUAAGCUCUUUUCGCGCCUUGAACCCAUGAUCUCCUAAUCACACGGCGAACUACCAUUGCGCUAAGGCUCCCCUUCACAUUACAAGCAUUAACAACAUUGUUAAAUAUUUAAAUUUUAUAGGCCUCUGGUACUAUUUGGUAGGGUAAUGUGUACACAGAGCAUACAUGUCUGGUAUUAUUUGGUGCUUAAUAGAAGUGGCAAUUUGAGCCCAAAUCCAUCUAAUCCGCCCAGAGAUUAAUGGGUUGCGUUACAAACUUUUUAGCUCAUGGGUCAAUUUGGGUUGAGCCCAAGUUAACCCAUUAUAUUUUAUAGCUCAUUCUGACCCAUUAAACUGCCCAAAUAUAACCCAUGAAACUCACUCAAAACAAAAGGUAUCUCAACCCAACUUAUAUACUCCCUCUGUUUCAUAUUAUUAGAAGUACUUUCCUUUUUAGUCUGUUCCAAAAUAAAUGACACAUUUCUAAAUUUGGAAAUAAUUCAACUUUAAACUCUUCAUUUUACUCUUUUUGCCCUUAGUGAGAAGCUUUUACAGCCACACAAAUGGUAUGGCCCCACAAACCUUUUACCCCUUAAUCUUUUAAGACCACAAGUUUUAAAAGUCUUCUUCUUUUUUCUUAAACUCCGUGCCGAAUCAAACUACCUCAAACAAUAUGAAACGGAGGGAGUAACAAUUUAUUUAGUUGCUCCAAUUUUACUUUUUUUUUUUUUGUAUUUUUAAUUUUAUGUUCUUUUAUUUUUCUGCACCAACCACCCACCCUGCCCCCCUCCCCGUCAAAAAGAAAUUUAUUACUUUUUUUUUUGUAUUUUCAGUUUUUUUUCUGCACCACCAAUCCCCCCCUCCCCGAAUUUUUUUUUUUUACCUUUUUUUGUUUUUUCAAUUUUUUGUUUUUUUCUGCACCACCCCCUCCGCAAAACCCCCCUCCCCUCAAAAAAUAAAUUACUUUUUUUUUUGUAUUUAAAAAAAUGUUAUUUUUAAUUACAUUUUUAUGCAAAUAGGGUAAAAACAAUUUUUUAUUUAUAAACUGUUGAAUUCCUUUGACAUAAUAGAAGAUUCUAGUGUAGUGGUAAAGAGGGUUCAAAAAUUCUUUUCUAUCACAUGUUCAAGUUCUAGGAGUGACAUUUUAUUAUUUUCAAUCUCCUUGUACGUAUUUCUGGCUUCGCCACAGGUCUAAGGUGUCAUCAUUAAAGGAGCUUUUAUGUUGUGUAUGGUUCAAAAUGGAGAGGAAACUAGAAUCAUAUAUUGUUAUUUGUGCCUCUUUCAUAUAUACUUGUUUAAAUUGGUAAAUCAUAUUGUGAUUCCUUCUCAAAGUAGUUUAAUGGUUGUAAAUUUCUUGUUUCCGGUUGGACAAUUUAGUUGCUUUUGACUUCUGAGGAUAGAGAAAGGAAUUAUUAUAGUUGUCAAUAUUCAGGGUUUAAAUUUGUCUUCAGGUCUAUGGAAUUAUAGAACCGUGCCACCUUAAAAGAUCACUUCAUUCUGCAUAGUAGAAGUUACUUAUGUUGUUUGUUUGAGUUUUCAUUUGUAAAAAGUCUUCUCUUGACACUUUCUGAGGCCUAAAGUUCUUCUGCUUCUUCCAGCAAUUCCAUUUUUUGUCAUUUCUGGAACUUAAUAGGGAACUCUUAGUUAGUCGUCCUUGUUCUUUUACAUUUUUCCAUUAAUGUGAUUCACACUCUA
rnacentral:lncRNA from 1 species